rnacentral:rRNA from 1 species
AACGCGAAGAACCUUACCAGGGCUUGACAUGCACGGUGUACUCGCAGAGAUGCGGGGUCCUUUGGGGCCGUGUGCAGGUGGUGCAUGGUUGUCGUCAGCUCGUGUCGUGAGAUGUUGGGUUAAGUCCCGCAACGAGCGCAACCCUUGUCCUAUGUUGCCAGCACGCCUUUAUGGUGGUGGGGACUCGUGGGAGACUGCCGGGGUCAACUCGGAGGAAGGUGGGGACGACGUCAAAUCAUCAUGCCCCUUAUGUCCUGGGCUGCACGCAUGCUACAAUGGCCGGUACAGAGGGCUGCGAUACCGUGAGGUGGAGCGAAUCCCGGAAAGCCGGUCUCAGUUCGGAUCGGGGUCUGCAACUCGACCCCGUGAAGUCGGAGUUGCUAGUAAUCGCAGAUCAGCAAUGCUGCGGUGAAUACGUUCCCGGGCCUUGUACACACCGAGACGUA